UACGGAGGGGGUUAGCGUUGUUCGGAAUGACUGGGCGUAAAGCGCGCGUAGGCGGAUCGGAAAGUCGGGGGUGAAAUCCCGGGGCUCAACCCCGGAAUGGCCUUCGAAACUCCCGGUCUUGAGUUCGAGAGAGGUGAGUGGAAUUCCGAGUGUAGAGGUGAAAUUCGUAGAUAUUCGGAGGAACACCAGUGGCGAAGGCGGCUCACUGGCACGACACUGACGCUGAGGUGCGAAAGCGUGGGGAGCAAACAGG
rnacentral:rRNA from 1 species